CUUUAAUUCGCCAUUAUUAUUGCAUUAAUUCUAAAUGAUACAAGCUGAUACUGUUUUUAAUUGCAGUUUAGUUAAAUAUAUACUGGAGGGCUCCCUGGAGAGGUGUUUUUUUUAAAAUCUUUUUCUUUUUUAGAUUGGUAGCAUUUUGUUUUCUUCUCCCCGUCCCUUUCUAAAUGUACCUAUUAAAGGGUUGGUGUAGUAACUGCACAUUUGGUGUGGUGAUGUAUCACCGUGUUUUUCAGUGCUCUUCACUAACACAGAAGGUUGUAACCCUUACCAAACUGAAAGCAUUGAGAUAGAUGACAAGGCAAAUAGCAAAAGACAGUGGCCACUACCACCUAUCCAAAAUAACAGGAUCAUUUGUCCCCCUUUUUUUUAUUCAUUAUUUUAUUUUUGUUGAGAUAAAAAAGAUACAAAAUAAGAUCUUCAUCAUACAAUGUAACAGAUUGUCCAUUAUCAAUCCCCCAAUUGUUU